rnacentral:lncRNA from 7 species
AUACUGACCCUUUAGCACACAUCACAGCAAUCUCUGCUUAGAUACAGUGGUGUCAUCUCACAACUUCCUGUAUCAAGCUGGAAUCAUUUGCUCCCAGGCCAAGUCUUCAGCCAGUUAACACUCCCGGACCCUCCCAUUCGAAGGCAAACUCCAAAGAAAUGAUUUCAAAUGUAAAACUCUUCACAGAGUGAUGCUGAUUGCCGGUCUCAGACAACAUCUCAAUACUGAAGCUAAUUAAAGAAGAAUUCAGGACUCCCCUACAUUGGUGAGAGCCCAGGACCCCUUUCCAGUCCCUGGAGCCAUCAACUCCUGCCUAGUGAGGCCUCAUUCAGGGUUGGUUUCCAGCUCCCUACAGCCCAAACCUGGUUGGCCAUGUGCCCCGCUGAGAUGUACUUCCAGCCUGACCUCAUGCUUGUCUCUGUCCCAGGUGGGGUGUCAAAUGCCUGGGAUGGAAGCUGAGGUAAUUUAAUCCAUCAGUGCCUCUGUGAAGAGAGAUUUGAGCCAGUGACUUUUUAGAUCGGUGAUUCUACAUAAUAAGAAAGUUUCUGUGUCGCAGUCUGGAGGUUGUGAGGCAGAUUGUUCAGCUGAAGACUGAAAUAGAGAAGACUAUUGAAAAGACUUAUUUCUUGUGACAUCUCAAUGAAAGGUUUGCACUGAAGAUUUUGGAAGACAGAUGAAUCCUUUAACAGCUUGUACCAGGCAUCUGCCAGUCUGAAGAGUUCAUGGGUGUGAGAAUUGUCUGUUCAUAGAACUUACUGAGUUCAUCAUUUCCUAUGAUCCUGGGGCCUUUGGUCAUCUUCAAAUAUUUUAAACAGAACAAGUACUAAGACAGACCUCUGGAGAGCUCCUGUUCUAACUGCCUUGUAAGCAUAGUAAAAAAUAGUAACUACAACCUAAAGCAUAACAAACCAUUCAGAUAUUUACUGUGCUGAUAUUUCACACAUCUCAAUUUGGAUACAAUCUGUUGUACCCUUACUCAUUCUUGUUGCACUUUUUGAAGAUAAGUGCAAGAUUUUCCUUCUGUGUUUGAGGACCUUUCCUGCUCUCCACAAUGUAUUAAAGGUGAUAGGCAGCAGUGUCACAAUGACUUCUACUGUCUUUUUCAUCACCUAGGUAUCCAUCCUUCCUGGUCACUCAGGACUGUAUUGUUUGAGAGUAUCAUCCUCACUUUAAAGU